ACUUGAAUGAUUUAAUUAAUUGGGAUUUUAAUGUUAUAAUGAUUAAAUUAGUAUUUUUUUUAAUUAAAUUAUAGGAACUCGGCAAAUUUAGUGUUCGCCUGUUUAACAAAAACAUGUCCUUUUGUUUAUUUAUUUAAGGUCUGACCUGCCCAAUGAGGAAUUCAAUGGCCGCAGUAUUUUAACUGUGCUAAGGUAGCAUAAUCAUUUGUCUUUUAAUUGAGGGCUGGAAUGAAAGGUUGGACGAGAUAUUAACUUUCUUUAGUUUAAUUUUAAGAAUUUAAUUUUUAAGUUAAAAAGCUUAAAUUUAUUUGUUGGACGAGAAGACCCUAUAGAUCUUUAUAAUUUUAUAUUUUGAUAAUUUGGUGAUUUUAUUUAUUGUAAGUAGAAGAAUUAUUUUGUUGGGGUGACUGUAGAAUUUUAUUAACUUCUAUUAUUUUUAUUUCAUUGAUUGGUGUUUUUUUGAUCCAUAUAUUUAUGAUUAAAAGAUUAAGUUACCUUA
rnacentral:rRNA from 1 species